rnacentral:tRNA from 1 species
GGGCGGAGGAGAGCGGCGCGGCUGCAGCGCUGGGCAGCGCCCGCAUCAGCCGUGCCGCCAAGGCGGAAUGCAGGGGCAGUCUCUGUGGCGCAAUCGGUUAGCGCGUUCGGCUGUUAACCGAAAGGUUGGUGGUUCGAGCCCACCCAGGGACGACGGCCGCUAUUUUGGCUCUACGCCCCCCCCCCCUCCGCCAGCCGUCGUUUUUGACUGAGUGCGCGCGUCGGGAGGAUGUGAGAGCAGCGCUGGCGGCUGUACAGGCGCCGCGUGUUUCUGAGCAGGGGGGCCCCCGGCGGGGAGCGGCGCUGGGCGCAGCCGCAGCGGCAGCCGAGCCCGGCGCCGAGCGGUGCCGCGGGCCGAGAUGGCUGCGCCGGCACCUCCCGCCUCGUGUCCGCGUCCCACCGCGGGAGGGGGGGGGGUGUCGGCCGAGCCCCGGUCCUCGCGGCCAACCGCGCCGCGGUUGUGCCGGCCGCAGCUCUGCGCCGGCUCGUUUUAUUCGUUCCUUCCUCCCGUAGCGGAAAGUGCGAAGGAAGAUCUCCCAUCUGAAGGGCAGAACGGCGAUGCGGGGCGGGGGGGGGGCGCGCUGCGGGAGGCACUGCGCACACGGAGCUCCGGCACUCGAGCUGCUAACGUGGGUCGGAGCCGAGGUGCGGGAGGCAGAGCCGUGCGUUGCUGAGCGCUGCCUUACCCGGCUCUCGUUGCUGUCGGCAGCGUUCAUUGGAAUAAAAGUCAAAAUGCACAAACGACUUUUCUUUUUUCUCUUCCUGGCGGACGAAGCUUCGCAGCCUUCUCAAGCGGUGCUAAAUCCAGCGGGGAGGAACGGCGCCGGGGGAGCCUCGCAGCACAGCGCCGCAGCCCCGCAGCCCCGCAGCCCCGCGCCGCUCCUAACCCGGUGCCGCAGCCGCUCCCGCUGCUCGCUGUGCCCGCACGGAGCCGUUCUGCACAAAUGAAUGCGAAAAGUAAUUCCGUCCGGAGCUUCGCCCAGACGUAUCAGUCGGGAGUCGGCACCUCCGCCGUAUCCGAGCCCGCGACCGGAUCGAAAUGAGAGCUUCGGCCGUGCGAGGGGCGGCCGCCGCCCGGAGCGACUCGUGCGAAGUCCUCUGGGAUGUACCCGCAGCUCCCGGAGAACAGAAUUCAUGUUACAAAUACCUCCUCGCCCGGUGAAGUCGCAUCUCACCGCCGCUGUGAGCACAGCCCCGCCCGGGGGUGCCCGCAGGUACCGGGGGGACGCAGCCGAGCUGCGGAGGAGGGACGGCUCUUUGGGGGCGCCGAAGGGUCUUUUUAAAGUGACCGCCGGACCCGCAGCAGUCCGUCACCCUCAGCUCUGCCAGCGGCUCCCGCUCCCGUACAACGCCCGCGACAGCGGCAGCUCCCGCCCCCCGCCCGGGACCGCUGCCCGUCGGCCGGGAGGGGCGAUUCCUUCCGUCGAUGGUUACGCGGUGGGCGCAGCUCGAGGCGGCAGCGCGUUCCCCGCAGCAGCCGCGCAGCGCCCGGAGGUGCGGCACCCCCCGUGGGGCAGCGCCCGGGAACGGGGCGAGAGUGCGGCGCUCGGUGCGGGGGAUCGGGACGGUGCGGGGACGUUGCCGUGGGCAGGUGCGGCUUCAGAUUUGAAUAUCCUGGGGCUCUUCCGUUCUUGAUCCGGGCUUCAGCUCUGAGCCGGAGGUUGGUGUCGGUGUCCGAAGGACCGGCAGGGAGCACACAGCUGCACAGAUUCCUUAAAAGCAAAUGGAAGUCACAGAUGUACAAACAGAGGAAGGAUUUGGGCCAUUUUUGUUACAGUCUGAAGAAAAGUCAAAUAUAAUCUACCAGCACCAAGAUGCUGUGGUAUGUUUUACAACAUAUCACCCCAACACCAAGCGCUGUCCAUGAGUAACUCCUACAAACUUUUGCUGUAACAAGCCCUCCCCUUGUGUUUUUGGCAUGUUGUUCUCAUGGCUGGACAGUCUGUCUGUGUGUGGUCAGAGUUCUAUGUUCAAAUUUAUUUUGAAGUGAUGGAUUUUUGUCUUGUGCUUCACUUCUCUAACACUUUUUGGUGCUACCUCUUCCUUUCUUGGGAGGG